GGGCUUGACAUCCCACGAACCUGCCUGAAAGGGCGGGGUGCCCGCAAGGGAGCGUGGAGACAGGUGGUGCAUGGCUGUCGUCAGCUCGUGUCGUGAGAUGUUGGGUUAAGUCCCGCAACGAGCGCAACCCUCACCCCUAGUUGCCACCGGGUAAUGCCGAGCACUCGAGGGGAACUGCCAGCGUCAAGCUGGAGGAAGGCGGGGAUGACGUCAAGUCAUCAUGCCCCUUACGCCCUGGGCUACACACGUGCUACAAUGGCCAGUACAAAGGGAUGCGAGACCGUAAGGUGGAGUUAAUCCCAAAAAGCUGGUCUAAGUUCAGAUUGCAGUCUGCAACUCGACUGCAUGAAGGAGGAAUCGCUAGUAAUCGCGCAUCAGCACGGCGCGGUGAAUACGUUCCCGGGCCUUGUACACACCGCCCGUCACACCACGAAAGCUGGCUGUACUCGAAGUCGCUGAG
rnacentral:rRNA from 1 species